CUGGUGUUCGGGUUGUCAUGCCAAUGGCACUGCCCGGUAGCUAAAUGCGGAAGAGAUAAGUGCUGAAAGCAUCUAAGCACGAAACUUGCCCCGAGAUGAGUUCUCCCUGACCCUUUAAGGGUCCUGAAGGAACGUUGAAGACGACGACGUUGAUAGGCCGGGUGUGUAAGCGCAGCGAUGCGUUGAGCUAACCGGUACUAAUGAACCGUGAGGCUUAACCUUACAACGCCGAAGGUGUUU
rnacentral:rRNA from 1 species